UAACGUCAAGAGAAUGGUUUUUGGUGCAUC
rnacentral:piRNA from 1 species